UACAGAGGGUGCGAGCGCUAAUCGGAAUUACUGGGCGUAAAGCGUUCGUAGGCGGUUAUAUAAGUCGGGUGUGAAAGCCCCGGGCUCAACCCGGGAACUGCAUCCGAAACUGCCUCGCUAGAGUCUCGGAGAGGAAGGCAGAAUUCCCAGUGUAGGGGUGAAAUCCGUAGAUACUGGGAGGAAUACCGGCAGCGAAGGCGGCCUUCUGGACGAUGACUGACGCUGAGAAGCGAAAGCGUGGGGAGCAAACAGG
rnacentral:rRNA from 1 species